AACGGCCGCGGUAAACUAACCGUGCAAAGGUAGCAUAAUCACUUGUUCUUUAAAUAAGGACUCGUAUCAACGGCAUCACGAGGGUUACACUGUCUCCUUUCUCCAAUCAGUGAAACUGAUCUCCCCGUGAAGAAGCGGGGAUAUUAAUAUAAGACGAGAAGACCCCAUGGAGCUUUAAACCCACAGCAACUCAAUAACACAACCCCCUAAAAUUAUAGAUCCCUGCACGUCGGCUUUAGGUUGGGGCGACCACGGAGCAAAAACUAACCUCCAUGACGAAAAGGACUACACCUUUAUCCAAGAGUUACUACUCUAAGAAUUAGUAUACUAACGUAAAAUGACCCAAUUAAUGAUCAACGAACCAAGUUACCCUGGGGAUAACAGCGCAAUCUACUUCAAGAGCCCCUAUCGACAAGUAGGCUUACGACCUCGAUGUUGGAUCAGGGUACCCCAGUGGUGCAACCGCUACUAAAGGUUC
rnacentral:rRNA from 1 species